rnacentral:snRNA from 2 species
GUGCUUGCUUUGACAGCACAUACACUAUAAUUAGAACAAUACAGAGAUCAGCAUGACCCCUGUGCAAGAACAACAUGCAAAUUCGUGAAGCAUUCUUUUUUUUU